GUUAGAAGUGUCUUUUGCCCCGCCUGGCCCCUGUAAUCCCAGCACUUUGGGAGGCCGUGGCGAGCGACGCCGGCGGAUCACCUGAGGUCAGGAGUUGACGACCAGCCUGGCCAGUAUGGUGAAACCCCGUCUCUACUAAAAAAAAAAAAAUUAGCGGGGCAUGGUGGCUCUCGCCUGCAGUCCCAGCUACUCAGGCGGCUGAGGCAGGAGAAUCACUUAAACCUGGGAGGCGCAGGUUGCAGUGAGCUGAGAUGGCGCCACUGCACUCCAGCCUGGGCAACAAGAGCCAGACUGCGUCUCAAACAACAACAACAAAAAAGUGCCUUUCACCUCCACCCAUGAUUCUGAGGCCUCUCCAGCCGUGUGGAACUGUCGUACACGCCUACCCAUUUCCUUCUUAUCAGAAGAGUGAAAACACUGCAGAAAACCACCUCUUCUGUUUGUAUUUUACUUCCGGAAACAUAUACAUCCCAUCAACCCUCUCUAUCUUCAGUUUACUAGUGAAUAAAGAAGGACUUAAAGGAAACGUGGAGCCACGGAGGCCAAGGAAAUCUGAUCAGCUCCAGAUCCCCAAGUUGGUCUUUUUACACCCCUAAAGACACCAUGCUUGCUCCUUCUCCAAGACUCAUAAGGAAAUACAAAUGACUUUGAAAUAUCAGCCACUGUUAACUGGAUCAGAUUCCUCCAGUAAAUAUGAGAGAAGAGUCAUGACUUUUGCUCAGUCAUUAAAAUAAGAGACACAAGGAUUGGUAUGGGGUAUCCCUAGCAGAAUUUAUUCAAGGAAGCCUAAUCAAUAUCCCCCAUCUCACUAUUUCUUCAGACACGUGCUAAGUUUACAUAUUCGAAUCAAAUUAACAUAUCAGAGUCACAAAUUGGCAAUGGUGUCAAAAUACCUAUCCUCACCAUUCUAAAUCAUUUUUCACAUUAAAUAUGUCAAGGGCUAUGUUUGCGUGCAUAAGUCAAAAGAAGAGAAAUAAAGCAAUACAUUAAGAAGUUGGUGACAUAAGCUUAUUUAUUUAGUUAUUUAUUUUUGCCUAUUACUGGUAGAGAAAAAUGUAUUUAGUUUGCUCUAUUACAGGUAGAGAAAAAUUAUAUUUUGUUGUUCUGAGUGAAACCAGUGAUAAUCAUUUUACCUCUUCUUUUAAGUAGUAUAGAAGUCUAACAUUUUCAUUGCUUAUUGCCAGAACUUAAGUGCUAAGAUUUUUUCUAUAUUGUCUGAUUUGAUUCAUACAUAUAAUGUUGAGAUUCAAGAAUUAUUAUCCCAUUUACCAGAUGAGGAAGUGGAGGUACAGAAGUUUUAGAAAAGGGAAUUAGCCUCCGCUUCUAUUCUAUUAAGCCACUAUAUUUCAGAAGGCAUAGAGUAUCUAUUUUGCAUUUGGGUUGGGGGAGAUGGAG
rnacentral:lncRNA from 1 species